GUAUUCUUGGGAUCUGACAUAUUGAGCACUCAGAUCCAAGCUAUCUGAGGAUAUGUUGGACAGAAAGGUUAAACAUUGUAUUAUAUGAGUUAUGUAUUUUUAUGUAGUUUUUGUAACAGUUUUUGGACUUGGAGAUAAUUGGCUUACCCCAGACACUUAAGUCAGUUAUCUCCAGGAUAGAGGAGAAGAUCGUCCGAAAAGGCCUAAAUCUGUGGAACUGUUUU